rnacentral:lncRNA from 1 species
CUGAGGAACAAAAUUACCCCAAGAACUUCCGCACGCAAGAACAAGCCGAUCGAACCAGCCAAAAACUACCCUGUUUACAGACCCACAGAAGCUGCAGUUACCGAAGAAACCGCCUCCUCGGAGAGUACCCCAUCAAGGGUGGACAAGUACAACAGAUUCAAUCGAAGGAGGCCCCUGCGACCAGCAUCUACUUCAACCACCACUUCAAGCUCUGAAGAGGUUUCAACCGCUGCAACCAGGACUCGAGUGAAAGCAACCAGAGCACCACCAACAGCCUCAAGAGCUUUGAGUGGCCGAACCAGAUCGAGAAGGCCCGGCACCUUGACCACCGAGGCUCCAUCAACCACCUCAACUACCGAAUCUGCUUCGACGGAAAGUUUAGACUGGGGCACGUACGUCAAUAGUUUUGCCCCCUCAGCAGGAGCCAACGAGAUUGCCAGUCCGUAUGAUGACAAAUCCAUAACCUUCCACAAUAUCGAAUCGCACAGGAGAAACCCCAGCUACAACAAGGUGAAGAAUGACGGUUACUGGAACAACGGCGUUACGAUCCAACAAAGCGAAGGAGUUGAGGUGAACCCAGAGACAUUCGCACCCACCGAGUCCACUGCUGCGUCGCGGUCUUACACGAGAGCCGACACGGAGAGCAGCGCGACAACUAGAGGGCUGGACAGGAAGGCGCUCUACAGACAGAGGCUCAGGCAAGGCGCUGUUCAGAAUGACGAAGUAAAUGUUGCAGCUCAACAGAAUCAGCUGAGGAGGGCUAAUGCGCACAAGGAGAGAAUUGCGGCUAAGAAGUUGGCUGAAGCCCGAGAUCGGGAUGCAACUAGCUAUGAUGGAAACAGCUUGCAAAGCGAGGGACGUCAAAGAGGAGAGGAGGAUGGUCAACAGAACAGAGAAACAAGCUCGCAGAGUGAAGGAAGACAGAGGGGUGACGGUUUUGACAAUCAGCAGAACUUUGAAACGAACAGGGACUCAGACGCCGAGCAACAGAGGAAUACUGAAUCAGCCGCUGGUAAAAAGGCUGUAGUUGGACGCAGGCGAGGCGCCUGGGUGCGAGUCCGCGUAAAGAAGCCGCAAGACGUGUUCGAAACCGCCGAGUCUCAGAGCUUUGCUAAACUCUCCGGAAACGCGCUGAAGAACAUCGAAAAACCCCAGCCGGAAGCCGGGAAGGAGCAGUACGUCAAACAAGUCUCCGUGGACCAAGUAUCUCUAGUCGCAGACCCCGCUCAAACCAACCCGAUCCCGGAGGAACAGAAACCCGAAGAAUCGUCGUCACAGCCGGAGACACCGGAAGUAACUGCGCAAGAUUCGGCCCGGAAGACACCCCGGAAGUCACCCCCGAAGACAUCAGCCCUCAGGUGUUCCAGAAGGACAUCGGGGACAUGA